GAUGAAGAACGCAGCGAAAUGCGAUAAGUAAUGUGAAUUGCAGAAUUCAGUGAAUCAUCGAAUCUUUGAACGCAUCUUGCGCUCCUUGGUAUUCCGAGGAGCAUGCCUGUUUGAGUGUCAUUUAACUUCUCAACCACAUUGGAUAUUUUUUUUCCGAUGCCGGCUUGGAUGUGGGGGUUGUUUGCAGGCUUUUUGUGACAAAAAAGGUCGGCUCCCCUGAAAUGUAUUAGUGGUAUCUGAGGCUAUUACUAUUAGGUGUGAUAAUUAUCUAUGCCUUUUGGGUAUGCCGCAUGAACAGAUUAUGCUGCUUCUAACGAAAACUAUUUUGAUGAAUUUGACCUCAAAUCAGGUAGGACUACCCGCUGAACUUAAGCAUAUCAAUAAGCGGAGGA
rnacentral:misc_RNA from 1 species